UUGGGUUGUUGUGUUGGGUUAUUCCUAGCUUGUAUUGGGUUAUUUCUAUAACAACCCAGACCGAUGGGUUAAAAUCGGGCUCACGUCACGCAUUUUGAAUUUCAAUGGUCGACAGGUGCCACUGCUGAGUGCGGACAGACACGAGAGACAUUCUUGGAGAUGUUGCAUUAAAAACCUUUCAAAAUGGCCAGCAAGAUGGUUCAGCCUUCCUACAGUACCAAGAAGCAAAGCAAGAAUUUAUACAUUUUCAACCUGUCAGAAAACAAACAUAAUUCAGUAUUUGGAGGAGGAGGUAGGACGAAGACCCCAUGUCCUGUUAUGGGAUGAAUUCGACUAAUCACAAGCCUUUGUUAUCGUGGGGAGGCAUGGCCCAGGAGCAAGACCAGCAGUUGACAUGUGCUUUAAUAUUUUUUACAUUUUAGACAGAGUAUCCCAAGCCUUUCACUACUGUUAAGUAGUUUCUGUAACACAAUACAUUUUGUACCAGGUGAUGUUUCCUUAACACACUGUCACCUGUUUAAAGGGACAGUUCCCCCAAAAAAUGAAAAUUAUGUCAUAAUUUUCUUCCUCUCCUGUCGUUACAAACCUGUAUACAUUUUUUUUGUUCUGAUGACCAUAAAGGAAGAUAUUUUGAGUAAUGUUUGAAACCAAACAGAUCAUGAGCCCCAUUGACUGUCAUAGUAGGA